GAUGAACGCUGGCGGCGUGCCUAAUACAUGCAAGUCGAGCGAACAGACGAGGAGCUUGCUCCUCUGACGUUAGCGGCGGACGGGUGAGUAACACGUGGAUACCCUACCUAUAAGACUGGGAUAACUUCGGGAAACCGGAGCUAAUACCGGAUAAUAUAUUGAACCGCAUGGUUCAAUAGUGAAAGACGGUUUUGCUGUCACUUAUAGAUGGAUCCGCGCCGCAUUAGCUAGUUGGUAAGGUAACGGCUUACCAAGGCGACGAUGCGUAGCCGACCUGAGAGGGUGAUCGGCCACACUGGAACGGAGACACGGUCCAGACUCCUACGGGAGGCAGCAGUAGGGAAUCUUCCGCAAUGGGCGAAAGCCUGACGGAGCAACGCCGCGUGAGUGAUGAAGGUCUUCGGAUCGUAAAACUCUGUUAUUAGGGAAGAACAAAUGUGUAAGUAACUAUGCACGUCUUGACGGUACCUAAUCAGAAAGCCACGGCUAACUACGUG
rnacentral:rRNA from 1 species